rnacentral:rRNA from 1 species
CCUACGGGGUGCAGCAGUGGGGAAUAUUGCACAAUGGGGGAAACCCUGAUGCAGCAACGCCGCGUGAGUGAAGAAGUAUUUCGGUAUGUAAAGCUCUAUCAGCAGGGAAGAAGAUGACGGUACCUGAUUAAGAAGCCCCGGCUAACUACGUGCCAGCAGCCGCGGUAAUACGUAGGGGGCAAGCGUUAUCCGGAUUUACUGGGUGUAAAGGGAGCGCAGACGGCAGUGCAAGUCUGGAGUGAAAGCCCGGGGCCCAACCCCGGAACUGCUCUGGAAACUGUGCGGCUAGAGUACUGGAGGGGCAGGCGGAAUUCCUAGUGUAGCGGUGAAAUGCGUAGAUAUUAGGAGGAACACCAGUGGCGAAGGCAGCAUACCGGCGCCCAACUGACGCUGAAGCACGAAAGCGUGGGUAUCGAACAGGAUUAGAUACCCCAGUAGUC